rnacentral:rRNA from 1 species
UCGGGAAUUUUGGGCAAUGGGCGAAAGCCUGACCCAGCAACGCCGCGUGAAGGAUGAAGUAUUUCGGUAUGUAAACUUCGAAAGAAUAGGAAGAAUAAAUGACGGUACUAUUUAUAGGGUCCGGCUAACUACGUGCCAGCAGCCGCGGUAAUACGUAGGGACCAAGCGUUGUUCGGAUUUACUGGGCGUAAAGGGCGCGUAGGCGGCAAUUCAAGUCAUCUGUGAAAUCUCCGGGCUUAACUCGGAACGGUCAGAUGAUACUGCUUUGCUAGAGUGCAGAAGGGGCAAUCGGAAUUCUUGGUGUAGCGGUGAAAUGCGUAGAUAUCAAGAGGAACACCUGAGGUGAAGACGGGUUGCUGGGCUGACACUGACGCUGAGGCGCGAAAGCCAGGGGAGCAAACGGGAUUAGAUACCCAAGUAGUCCCUGAGCGGGCUGGCAAGGCGCAU